UACGGAGGGUGCGAGCGUUGUCCGGAAUCAUUGGGCGUAAAGGGCGCGUAGGUGGCCCGGUCAGUCUUUGGUGAAAGCGCGGGGCUCAACCCUGCGUCGGCCAGGGAUACUGCCGCGGCUCGAGCACUGUAGAGGCAGGCGGAAUUCCGGGUGUAGCGGUGGAAUGCGUAGAGAUCCGGAAGAACACCGGUGGCGAAGGCGGCCUGCUGGGCAGUUUGGCUGACACUGAGGCGCGACAGCGUGGGGAGCAAACCGG
rnacentral:rRNA from 1 species